UCGCGGAUGAAGGCGGGGGGCUUGUUUAACACUUGAAGGUGGAACGUUGAUCUCAAGCUUGCUGGGGGGAUUAGUGGCGAAGGGGUGAGUACCACUUGAGUACCUUGCCUUUAAUUUUGGGAUAGGCUUGGGAAAUUGGUUUUAAUACGGGAUAUGAUUCUUCUUGGCUUGGUGGGGGGUGGAAAGUUUUUUGUGGUUUUGGAUGGACUCGCGGCCUAUCAGCUUGUUGGUGAGGUAAUGGCUCACCAAGGCGACGACGGGUAGCCGGCCUGAGAGGGUGACCGGCCACACUGGGACUGAGACACGGCCCAGACUCCUACGGGAGGCAGCAGUGGGGAAUAUUGCACAAUGGGCGCAAGCCUGAUGCAGCGACGCCGCGUGAGGGAUGACGGCCUUCGGGUUGUAAACCUCUUUCAGUAGGGAAGAAGCGAAAGUGACGGUACCUGCAGAAGAAGCGCCGGCUAACUACGUGCCAGCAGCCGCGGUAAUACGUAGGGCGCAAGCGUUAUCCGGAAUUAUUGGGCGUAAAGAGCUCGUAGGCGGUUUGUCGCGUCUGCCGUGAAAGUCCGGGGCUCAACUCCGGAUCUGCGGUGGGUACGGGCAGACUAGAGUGAUGUAGGGGAGACUGGAAUUCCUGGUGUAGCGGUGAAAUGCGCAGAUAUCAGGAGGAACACCGAUGGCGAAGGCAGGUCUCUGGGCAUUAACUGACGCUGAGGAGCGAAAGCAUGGGGAGCGAACAGGAUUAGAUACCCUGGUAGUCCAUGCCGUAAACGUUGGGCACUAGGUGUGAGGACAUUCCACGUUUUCCGGCGCCGUAAGGCUAACGCAUUAAAGUGCCCCGGCC
rnacentral:rRNA from 1 species